rnacentral:rRNA from 1 species
CCUACGGGUGGCAGCAGUGGGGAAUAUUGCGCAAUGGGCGAAAGCCUGACGCAGCGACGCCGCGUGAGGGAUGAAGGUCUUCGGAUUGUAAACCCCUGUUAGCAGGGAAGAACGGUAACUGAGCUAAUCAGCAGUGAAUUGACGGUACCUGCAAAGGAAGCACCGGCUAACUCCGUGCCAGCAGCCGCGGUAAUACGGAGGGUGCGAGCGUUAAUCGGAAUUACUGGGCGUAAAGCGCUCGUAGGCGGUAUGUCAAGUCAAGGGUGAAAUCCCCGCGCUCAACGUGGGAACUGCCUUUGAAACUGGUAGACUGGAGUGUGGGAGAGGAUAGUGGAAUUCCAGGUGUAGGGGUGAAAUCCGUAGAUAUCAGGAGGAACA